AGAAAAAAAAAUAUAUCGAGCCAGUGAAUAUGAUGACUUGGUGGCCUCACAAACUCGAGGCUCUAUUCAACGACUGAUGGCUAGUCUUCGUGUGUGCCAUGUGGAUCCAAUCUGUCGUCGGCGUCGGUUAUCUAUUCGGCGGCUCUAUGUCGCCGGCGAUCAAGACAGCCCUAGGUUACAACCAGAAACAGAUCGCGCUCUUCUCGGCAUAGCUAAGAACCUAGGUGACGCAAUCGGGUUCGUCUCCGGUGCCUUAUCGGAGGUCUCACCGUCCUGGGUGGGUCUGCUCAUCGGUGCGACUCAGAACCUUAUCCGCUACGGUGUUCUCUUGCUCGUAUCACAGGUCAAUUGCCUAAUUUACCCCUCUGGAUGUUGUUUAUUGCUAUUUUCGUGGGAACAAAUGGUGAAACCUACUACAACACAGCAUCUCUUGUGUCAUGCAUUCACAACUUCCCGGAGAGCCGUGGCCCUGUAGUGGGAAUCUUGAAAGGGUUUUCUGGUUUGAGCGGAGCAAUCUUGACUCAGGAUUAUUUGAUGUUCAAUCCCUCUCAUGAUUCCUCGGUUAUUCUCAUGGUUGCUCUUGGACCACCACUCGUUGUUCUUGCUCUACUAUAUAUUGUUAGACCCGUGGAAAGAAGCUACAGAACAAACUUGUGCUCCGAUGAUUUACGAUUCUUGGCUAUUUUUGUUUCUGUCUUGUCCUUGCAGUAUAUUUAUUAAAAAUAUUGGUGCUUCAGAGUCUUGUUGAUAUAACUCAAACAGUUAUCACAAUCUCUGGAGCAAUCCUUGUCGUUUUCAUGGUUGUUCCAGGUCUUGUCCCUUAUUCAUCGGUUUUCAUCUCGGGUAACAGUGCAACCUCAAUGAAGCUCGAAGAAGCAACCUCUACUGUGGAUAAGAAUGAGGUUAGAACUUUGAUCGAGAGGAGUGAGAUAAAAGCGCCGAGAACAGGAGAAGAUUUCACCUUGUUACAGGCUUUGAGACAAGUUGACUUCUGGCUUAUAUUUAUGUCUCUCGUUCUAGGUGUUGGUUUGGGGAUAACGGUUAUAGACAAUCUUGGUCAGAUUUGUUACUCCCUUGGGUAUAACAACACCAAAGUAUUCGUCUCACUGAUCAGCAUCUCCAAUUUUCUCAGCCGUGUUGCUGGUGGCUACUUCUCAGAGCUAUUUAUAAGAAAACUCUCACUUCGAAGAACAUGAGUGUGGUUUAUAGGACGAGGAAGUUUUACUUCAGGCUUCACUGAGUUUCCAACACUUGAAUUCUGCUAAGCAUCUACCCAAGUUGCUAUUAAGAGUUCAAAUAUAUUGAUUGUAUUUUUGAAAGAUGAUUAGCCAAAAGAGUUAGAUAAUGUAUUACAUAAACAACUACAAUGUUAUAUUAAACGUUCAAAUAUAUUGAUUGAAUUAUUGAAAGAUGA